ensembl:lncRNA
UUUUAUAAGACUAAUAAGAAUUUUAUGUUCUUCAUUUUACAGAAGGAAAAAUGAAACCAGAGGAACUACCUUGUCAUUCAGCCAUCAAACAUAGAGCCUGGCUUCAAACUCAACUCUCACUCCAAAACGUGUGUUGAUUUCAAAACAACAUGUCAAAAUAGUGAAAAAAUCUGUCCUUGUCAUUUCUCAAAGCCUUUCAAGAUCUACCUGUUUAUUGAAAGUUUUCCUUCUAUGAGAGGAGAUACCUAUAGAGAAAGAGAAUGGAAAAGGGAAAAUGUGAGUACAGAGAAAUUGGCACUGAUUUCCAUCACAAAAAGAGACUCUACAAAGCUCUGGAGGAAAGUUACACCACCGCAUAGGCUGAUGUUGGAUGACUAGACUGUUGUCAGGAGACUUAAUAACCAGGUAAGCACUUUACACUGGUUAAAAUCCAAAUCAUAAAUAUGCUUUAUAUUUACUUGAAUUCAAACCCUUUAUGCCCUUUCAGAAUAUUUAAAGAAAACUAGUAAAUGUUCUUGAUAAAGUUCAUUUUCAGUUUAAAUAGUAUCAUAAAAAAUCAUGUUCUGACAUCUAGAACACAUAUGCAAUUACAUGAACCAAUUUUGAAAAUUGAAAAGCUGAUUAGAGUAAAAUAGACCUAGUUUUUAAUGUAUUUAAUAAUAUCUGAAGGGAGAACUUGCUUUGCUUUGG